AUCGAACGCUGGCGGCAGGCCUAACACAUGCAAGUCGAACGAGUGGCGGACGGGUGAGUAAUGUCCGGGCAACUGCCUGGUGGAGGGGGAUAAAUACUGGAAACGGUAGCUAAUACCGCAUACCAUCGGAUGUGCCCAGAUGGGAUUAGCUAGGAGGUGGGGUAACGGCUCCCCUAGGCGACGAUCCCUAGCUGGUCUGAGAGGAUGACCAGCCACACUGGAACUGAGACACGGUCCAGACUCCUACUGGAGGCAGCAGUGGGGAAUAUUGCACAAUGGGCGCAAGCCUGAUGCAGCCAUGCCGCGUGUAUGAAGAAGGCCUUCGGGUUGUAAAGUACUUUCAGCGGGGAGGCGUUACCCGCAGAAGAAGCACCGGCUAACUCCGUGCCAGCAGCCGCGGUAAUUC
rnacentral:rRNA from 1 species